GUCCUUCUCGUUGUUUUCGAUUGUUUAAGUUUAUUGUGGUAUCCUGAGGUUCCUGCAGUACUUUGUGCCUUUCAGCAGGUGACAAUUUGAAGCAGUGUGUUGCCAGGCUCAUACCUCAUCGCUGGACUUCUUACACCUGCCUUUAGUGGAAGGUAGCCUAGAGGUGCUUCCUCAAACCACAUAGUCCACUGGGAUUUCAGAUACCAGCAAUUUGU